GUAGGUGAACCUGCAGAAGGAUCAUUAGUGAAGAUUCAAGGGCCAGCCAUACAGACGUACAAUAAGUGUGUCUCUGGCGGCUCGCAUCCACUAUACAUCCAUAAACCCGUGUGCACUGUUCUAAGGAGUAAGAAAGAAGAAGGGGAGGGGAGAGAGAGUGCAUGUGCUUUGCAUAUAACUCUCUCUCACUCUCCACUCUCUUUCUCUCUCCGGUUAAUUACAAACUCGUAUGGAUUUGUAUGAACGUGAGAUAUAUCGUUGGACCGUCACUGGCCAACAAAUAUAACACAACUUUCGACAACGGAUCUCUUGGUUCUC
rnacentral:misc_RNA from 1 species